rnacentral:rRNA from 1 species
UACGGAGGGAGCUAGCGUUGUUCGGAAUUACUGGGCGUAAAGCGCGCGUAGGCGGCUUUGUAAGUUAGAGGUGAUAGCCCGGGGCUCAACCCCGGAACUGCCUUUAAAACUGCAUCGCUUGAAUCCGGGAGAGGUGAGUGGAAUUCCGAGUGUAGAGGUGAAAUUCGUAGAUAUCGGGAGGAACACCAGUGGCGAAAGCGGCGACCUGGGCCAAUAUUGACGCUGAGGUGCGAAAGCGUGGGGAGCAAACAGG